UGGGGAAUAUUGGACAAUGGGGGCAACCCUGAUCCAGCAAUGCCGCGUGUGUGAAGAAGGUUUUCGGAUUGUAAAGCACUUUCGACGGGGACGAUGAUGACGGUACCCGUAGAAGAAGCCCCGGCUAACUUCGUGCCAGCAGCCGCGGUAAUACGAAGGGGGCUAGCGUUGCUCGGAAUGACUGGGCGUAAAGGGCGUGUAGGCGGUUUGUACAGUCAGAUGUGAAAUCCCCGGGCUUAACCUGGGAGCUGCAUUUGAUACGUGCAGACUAGAGUGUGAGAGAGGGUUGUGGAAUUCCCAGUGUAGAGGUGAAAUUCGUAGAUAUUGGGAAGAGCACCGGUGGCGAAGGCGGCAACCUGGCUCAUAACUGACGCUGAGGCGCGAAAGCGUGGGGAGCAAACAGGAUUAGAUACCCUGGUAGUCCACGCUGUAAACGAUGUGUGCUAGAUGUUGGGUAACUUAGUUAUUCAGUGUCGCAGUUAACGCGUUAAGCACACCGCCUGGGGAGUACGGCCGCAAG
rnacentral:rRNA from 1 species